rnacentral:piRNA from 1 species
UAAGCAUGCAAAUAUCUGAGCCUAUGGG